rnacentral:misc_RNA from 1 species
UUGCUUAUUUCUUGAGAGGCUUUCUAUAAUUACAAAUGCUAAACUUUCUAUUGAUUUUUAUUUUUGCUUUUGUUUCAAUGCUUUGUGAGGAAUACUAUGUUUUAGUUUUUGAGUUAAUGUAAAACAUAGAACAGGUGCUAAUGCUUUAUUGUUUACACUUUAAAUAGUAAACAUCUCAUAAAAGAUGAGCAAGUUCCUUAUACUACUUGUUUUGGACUUGCAAUUGGUUGCAUAAACUUUUUACCAAGGACUGUGGAACGGACAAUGAAAUCACUAUUGAAGGAUUUUAUAUCUGCAAAUAUAGAAAUCAAGUUGUGGAAAGAUUAAGAUGCAACAAAACCUCUGGUGGGAAUAAAGGAGAAAUAAAAAAAACAUGAACAUCAUAUAUUGAUUGUCGAUUGGAUAGGGAUGGGAGAGCAUGGUGAGGAUGUUGUACAAAACAUUAUUGCUUGGUAUAAUGGUGAAUGGUUACUCUUCCUUUCUGGAAUGGUUGGUUAAGAGAGUCAGCAACGUGUGCUUUUGAAUAAAGCGUUUGCUUGGUAAUUGACUAUGGAAUUUGGUUAGAGAAAACUAAUGUAGAUUAUUUGGUUCCUUUUUCUUUUGAAUAAAGCUUUCCUUGAAAAUGUGGAGAAUGGUAAGAGGGGCUAACUCCAACUCCUUGGUGUUUUGGUAUAUGCCAAAAUAUAAACAAAAUGGUUUAUACAGAGUGUUUAAGAAAUUUGUGGUUGUUUGUGUACUCUUUUUUCCUUCAAUAAUUUCAGAUGCACCAAAAGAAGGCGUCAACUACCGCCACUGACUCUUUUUUCCUUGCUAUGUAAUGUUUGUCUCCUGAGCAGAAUGAAUGUUGGUUCCAGCUG